GAAAGGACGGCCUCUACACAAAGCGGUCGCCGAAGGAGGGGUUUUGCGUCUGGUUAGCUAGUUGGAGGGGUAACGGCCCAACAAGGCGACGAUCAGUAGCCGGUCUGAGAGGAUGAACGGCCACAUUGGGACUGAGACACGGCCCAGACUCCUACGGGAGGCAGCAGUGGGGAAUCUUCCGCAAUGGACGAAAGUCUGACGGAGCAACGCCGCGUGAGUGAAGACGGUCUUCGGAUUGUAAAGCUCUGUUAUACGGGACGAACGGCAAGGUGGUAAAUAGCCAUCAUGAGUGACGGUACCGUAAGAGAAAGCCACGGCUAACUACGUGCCAGCAGCCGCGGUAAAU
rnacentral:rRNA from 1 species